rnacentral:rRNA from 1 species
GUGGGGAAUCUUCCACAACGGACGAAAGUCUGAUGGAGCAACGCCGCGUGAGUGAAGAAGGGUUUCGGCUCGUAAAGCUCUGUUGUCGGGGACGAAUGUGCAGUAUUUGAAUAAAGUACUGUAAUGACGGUACCUGACGAGGAAGCCACGGCUAACUACGUGCCAGCAGCCGCGGUAAUACGUAGGUGGCAAGCGUUGUCCGGAAUUAUUGGGCGUAAAGGGAGCGCAGGCGGGAAGGUAAGUCGGUCUUAAAAGUGCGGGGCUCAACCCCGUGAUGGGAUCGAAACUAUCUUUCUUGAGUGCAGGAGAGGAAAGUGGAAUUCCUAGUGUAGCGGUGAAAUGCGUAGAUAUUAGGAGGAACACCAGUGGCGAAGGCGACUUUCUGGACUGUAACUGACGCUGAGGCUCGAAAGCCAGGGGAGCGAACGGGAUUAGAAACCCUGGUAGUCC